rnacentral:rRNA from 1 species
CACCGCGGUUAAACGAGAGGCCCUAGUUGAUACUAUAACGGUACAAAGUGUGGUUAAGAAUAAAGAACAAUAAAGCCAAAUGGCCCCUUGGCCGUUAUACGCUUCUAGGAAUCCGAAGCCCUAAUAUACGAAAGUAGCUUUAAUUUAACUUAUCUGACUCCACGAAAGCUAAGAAA